CAGUCGCCGCGGGAAUACGAAGGUCCCGAGCGUUGUUCGGAAUCACUGGGCGUAAAGGGAGCGUAGGCGGUAUGGUAAGUCAGAUGUGAAAUCCCGGGGCUCAACCCCGGAACUGCAUCCGAUACUGCCGUGCUAGAGGACUGGAGAGGCAACUGGAAUUCUCGGUGUAGCAGUGAAAUGCGUGGAGAUCGGAAGGAACACCUGUGGCGAAAGCGGCUCACUGGACCAUAACUGACGCUGAGGCGCGAAAGCUAGGGGAGCAAACAGGAUUAGAUACCCGGGUAGUCCCUGUCUCUUAUAC
rnacentral:rRNA from 1 species